ACAUGUUUCUUUAAUUAAUAAAAUGGCGGAAUGAGAGUUAUUUAAAAAGUUGUGGACCUGCGCAUGGAUAGUUGGAGUAGAGUGGUGUAAAAAUUAGCCUUGUAGCAUUGUUCAAAGACCACGAUACCCCUGCUUAACUGAUUGACAGAAGAUGAUGAUGAUGAUGA